AAGUCGUAACAAGGUUUCCGUAGGUGAACCUGCGGAAGGAUCAUUAACGAAUAUCUAUGGCGUUGGUUGUAGCUGGCUCCUAGGAGCAAUGUGCACGCCCGUCAUUCAUAUCAUCUUUCCACCUGUGAACCAUGUGUAGGCCUGGAUACCCCUCGCUUUGGCAACAAAGCGGAUGCAAGGAUUGCUGCGUCGACAAGGCCGGCUCUCUUUGAAUUUCCAGGUUCUACGUCUUUUACACACCCCAUUUGAAUGAUUUAGAAUGUAGUCAAUGGGCUUUCAUGCCUAUAAAAAACUAUACAACUUUCAGCAACGGAUCUCUUGGCUCUC
rnacentral:misc_RNA from 1 species